CCCUUAGAUGUUCUGGGCUGCACGCGCGCGACAAUGACGUUUGCAACGAGAUUGCGAGGCCGUCAGGUCGAGCUGAUCUUGCAAGCUGCGUCGUGAUAGGGACAGUCGAUUGCAAUUAUUCGACUCGAACGAGGAAUUCCUUGUAAUCGCGCAUCAUCAGUGCGCGCUGAAUACGUCCCUGCCCUUUGUACACACCGCCCGUCGCUCCUACCGAUUGAGCGAUCCGGUGAAUGUUUUGGAUCGGCUUCAAGUUGGUUCGCGCCUCUUGCUUGCUGUGAAAUCAUGUAAACCUUAUUGCUUAGAGGAAGGAGAAGUCGUAACA
rnacentral:rRNA from 1 species